GAUGAACGCUGGCGGCGUGCCUAACACAUGCAAGUCGAGCGAAGCACUUACUUUAGAUUUCUUCGGAAUGACGAAGUUUGUGACUGAGCGGCGGACGGGUGAGUAACGCGUGGGCAACCUGCCCUGUACAGGGGGAUAACAGUUAGAAAUGACUGCUAAUACCGCAUAAGCCCACAGCUUCGCAUGAAGCAGUUGGAAAAACUCCGGUGGUACAGGAUGGGCCCGCGUCUGAUUAGCUAGUUGGUAAGGUAACGGCUUACCAAGGCGACGAUCAGUAGCCGACCUGAGAGGGUGACCGGCCACAUUGGGACUGAGACACGGCCCAAACUCCUACGGGAGGCAGCAGUGGGGAAUAUUGCACAAUGGGGGAAACCCUGAUGCAGCGACGCCGCGUGAGCGAUGAAGUAUUUCGGUAUGUAAAGCUCUAUCAGCAGGGAAGAAAGUGACGGUACCUGACUAAGAAGCCCCGGCUAACUACGUG
rnacentral:rRNA from 1 species